rnacentral:rRNA from 1 species
CCUACGGGGAGCUGCAGUGAGGAAUAUUGGUCAAUGGACGAGAGUCUGAACCAGCCAAGUAGCGUGAAGGAUGACUGCCCUAUGGGUUGUAAACUUCUUUUAUAUGGGAAUAAAAUGUUCCACGUGUGGGAUUUUGUAUGUACCAUAUGAAUAAGGAUCGGCUAACUCCGUGCCAGCAGCCGAGGUAAUACGGAGGAUCCGAGCGUUAUCCGGAUUUAUUGGGUUUAAAGGGAGCGUAGGUGGAUUGUUAAGUCAGUUGUGAAAGUUUGCGGCUCAACCGUAAAAUUGCAGUUGAAACUGGCAGUCUUGAGUACAGUAGAGGUGGGCGGAAUUCGUGGUGUAGCGGUGAAAUGCUUAGAUAUCACGAAGAACUCCGAUUGCGAAGGCAGUUCACUGGACUGCAACUGACACUGAGGCUCGAAAGUGUGGGUAUCAAACAGGAUUAGAUACCCUGGUAGUC